rnacentral:rRNA from 1 species
AGCUAGUUGGUGAGGUAACGGCCCACCAAGGCAACGAUCGGUAGCCGGACUGAGAGGUUGAACGGCCACAUUGGGACUGAGACACGGCCCAGACUCCUACGGGAGGCAGCAGUGGGGAAUAUUGCACAAUGGGGGAAACCCUGAUGCAGCGACGCCGCGUGGAGGAAGAAGGUCUUCGGGUUGUAAACUCCUGUUGUUGAGGAAGAUAAUGACGGUACUCAACAAGGAAGUGACGGCUAACUACGUGCCAGCAGCCGCGGUAAAACGUAGGUCACAAGCGUUGUCCGGAAUUACUGGGUGUAAAGGGAGCGCAGGCGGGAAGACAAGUUGGAAGUGAAAUCCAUGGGCUCAACCCAUGAACUGCUUUCAAAACUGUUUUUCUUGAGUAGUGCAGAGGUAGGCGGAAUUCCCGGUGUAGCGGUGGAAUGCGUAGAUAUCGGGAGGAACACCAGUGGCGAAGGCGGCCUACUGGGCACCAACUGACGCUGAGGCUCGAAAGUGUGGGUAGCAAACAGGAUUAGAUACCCUGGUAGUCCACACCGUAAACGAUGAUUACUAGGUGUUGGAGGAUUGACCCCUUCAGUGCCGCAGUUAACACAAUAAGUAAUCCACCUGGGGAGUACGACCGCAAGGUUGAAACUCAAAGGAAUUGACGGGGGCCCGCACAAGCAGUGGAGUAUGUGGUUUAAUUCGACGCAACGCGAAGAACCUUACCAAGUCUUGACAUCCUGCGACGAUGCUGGAAACAGUAUUUUCCUUCGGGACGCAGAGACAGGUGGUGCAUGGUUGUCGUCAGCUCGUGUCGUGAGAUGUUGGGUUAAGUCUCGCAACGAGCGCAACCCUUAUGGUCAGUUACUACGCAAGAGGACUCUGGCCAGACUGCCGUUGACAAAACGGAGGAAGGUGGGGAUGACGUCAAAUCAUCAUGCCCUUUAUGACUUGGGCUACACACGUACUACAAUGGCGUUAAACAGAGAGAAGCAAGACCGCGAGGUGGAGCAAAACUCAGAAACAACGUCCCAGUUCGGACUGCAGGCUGCAACUCGCCUGCACGAAGUCGGAAUUGCUAGUAAUCGUGGAUCAGCAUGCCACGGUGAAUACGUUCCCGGGCCUUGUACACACCGCCCGUCACACCAUGAGAGCCGGGGGGACCCGAAGUCGGUAGUCUAACCGCAAGGAGAACGCCGCCGAAGGUAAAACUGGUGAUUGGGGUGAAGUCGUAACAAGGUAGCCGUAGGAGUACCUGCGGCUG